rnacentral:misc_RNA from 1 species
UUGUGGAGGCACUUCAACAUGAGAAAGCUCUGAUACUCUUGCCAUUCUUGGGGGACCAAGGGUUAAAUGUGAGGAUUUUGGAGGAGAAGAAAAUGGGAUACCCAAUACCAAGGAACGAAUUGGACGGAAGUUUCACUAGGAAGUCAGUUGCCGAGUCAGUGAGAUUGGUAAUGGUGGAGGAAGAGGGUAAGAUUUACAGAGAAAAAGCUAAGGAGAUGAGAGGAUUGUUUGGAGACAGAGAAAGACAGAAUAGGUGCAUAGACAACUUUCUGGGUUACCUCAAGAGCCAUAGGCGUCCAUGAAGAUUGAUAACCUGCUCAAAGUACAAAUGGUGUUCAGAAUAUCAGAAAAGAACAAAGAAGAAGAAGAAGAAG